CAUGCAGUCGAGCGGAGAGAGGUAGCUUGCUACUGAUCUUAGCGGCGGACGGGUGAGUAAUGCUUAGGAAUCUGCCUAUUAGUGGGGGACAACAUUUCGAAAGGAAUGCUAAUACCGCAUACGUCCUACGGGAGAAAGCAGGGGAUCUUCGGACCUUGCGCUAAUAGAUGAGCCUAAGUCGGAUUAGCUAGUUGGUGGGGUAAAGGCCUACCAAGGCGACGAUCUGUAGCGGGUCUGAGAGGAUGAUCCGCCACACUGGGACUGAGACACGGCCCAGACUCCUACGGGAGGCAGCAGUGGGGAAUAUUGGACAAUGGGCGCAAGCCUGAUCCAGCCAUGCCGCGUGUGUGAAGAAGGCCUUAUGGUUGUAAAGCACUUUAAGCGAGGAGGAGGCUACUUUAGUUAAUACCUAGAGAUAGUGGACGUUACUCGCAGAAUAAGCACCGGCUAACUCUGUGCCAGCAGCCGCGGUAAUACAGAGGGUGCAAGCGUUAAUCGGAUUUACUGGGCGUAAAGCGCGCGUAGGCGGCUAAUUAAGUCAAAUGUGAAAUCCCCGAGCUUAACUUGGGAAUUGCAUUCGAUACUGGUUAGCUAGAGUGUGGGAGAGGAUGGUAGAAUUCCAGGUGUAGCGGUGAAAUGCGUAGAGAUCUGGAGGAAUACCGAUGGCGAAGGCAGCCAUCUGGCCUAACACUGACGCUGAGGUGCGAAAG
rnacentral:rRNA from 1 species